ACCCAUGAUUAUGAGGUGAAGAUGCGGAACGUGGUGAAAUUCCUGGAAAACGGCGACAAGGUGAAAGUCACCCUGCGCUUCCGGGGCCGCGAAAUGGCCCACCAGAAUCUGGGCCGCGAACUGCUGGAACGCGUGUCCGAAGAUGUCAAAGAAAUCGGCAAGGUCGAAAACAUGCCGAAAAUGGAAGGCCGCCAGAUGAUCAUGAUGAUCGGACCGCUCAGCAAGUGAUCCUGACAGCCAUGUGAUUUGCAUCGCCCCUGCGUUUAUCCGAAACGUGGGGGCGAUUUCUUUUGUACGAGGGGCCUAUGUGGGAACAACGUUUCGCAACCGACGAUUAUAUAUCCGGC
rnacentral:misc_RNA from 1 species